GAUGAACGCUGGCGGCGUGCCUAAUACAUGCAAGUCGAGCGAACAGAUAAGGAGCUUGCUCCUUUGACGUUAGCGGCGGACGGGUGAGUAACACGUGGGUAACCUACCUAUAAGACUGGGAUAACUUCGGGAAACCGGAGCUAAUACCGGAUAAUAUUUCGAACCGCAUGGUUCGAUAGUGAAAGAUGGUUUUGCUAUCACUUAUAGAUGGACCCGCGCCGUAUUAGCUAGUUGGUAAGGUAACGGCUUACCAAGGCGACGAUACGUAGCCGACCUGAGAGUGGGAUCGGCCACACUGGAACUGAGACACGGUCCAGACUCCUACGGGAGGCAGCAGUAGGGAAUCUGCCGCAAUGGGCGAAAGCCUGACGGAGCAACGCCGCGUGAGUGAUGAAGGUCUUCGGAGCGUAAAACUCUGUUAUUAGGGAAGAACAUACGUGUAAGUAACUGUGCACGUCGUGACGGUACCUAAUCAGAAAGCCACGGCUAACUACGUG
rnacentral:rRNA from 1 species